rnacentral:rRNA from 1 species
AUGCCAAGUUUGUAUCUCUGGUUGAGCUGGCAGAGUGCAAUGGGUACACAGUUGAGGAUUAGCACGACAUUUCAUCCCCAAACAGAUGGCCAGUCAGAGCGUACCAUCCAAACUUUGGAAGAUAUGUUGCGGUGUUGUGUCCUAUCGUGGCAAGGGAGCUGGGAGGAUCAUCUACCGCUUGUGGAGUUUGCUUACAAUAGCAGUUAUCAAGCUAGCAUUCGGAUGGCACCUUAUGAGGCCUUGUAUGGAAGGAAGUGUAGGUCUCCAGUAUGUUGGAAUGCAGUGGACGAGAAGGCAGUGUUGGGACCAGAUUGGGUUGAAAGAAAUACGAAGAGGAUAGCUAAAAUUAGACACCAUAUGCUAGCAGCCCAGAGUAGGCAAAAGUGCUAUGCCGAUCCUAAGAGGCAGAAUGUGGAGUUUCAGGAAGGAGGAAGGAGAAUAGGUACUUUUAAGAGUCUCUCCAACCAAGGGUGUUAUUGGGUUCAAUAUCAAAGGAAAGCUUAG